AUAAGGAAUAUUAUGAACUUUUGGUGAUAACAAAUUCUUAUCAAAUAAUACUUUAAAAAUAUUAUUGAGUGGCAAUGCUCUGCUAAUCUAUUUUUGAUAAUGUUAAUUCUAAAAAGUAUUGGCGCCGCCACUGAGGGUUUUUAUUAUCGCUUUAUCCUGCAUGUUUUGAGUCUUGCGUCAGUCAGUUUUGAUUUUUCAAUUCAAGAGGCAGAAUUAGUUAUUGGGUCCGAUGAGGCUCUGGAAGACGACAUCAGUUAUGAGCUUUCAGCUUUGAUUGGUCGGUGAAAGGGUGAUUCAUUUCGCUGCUAUGGAAUCAACUCUAUUGUCACUAUGGAGACCUCUCCAAAAGGCUUGCAGCCAUGAAAGGGACAAAGAAAAGCAUACUAUAAACCUUCAAAGUGUAAUUUCCAGAUCAGUGAAACCUACCAGACUGAGAGCUGUCGUUCCAAGAAGAAGAAGAUACAUCUUUCCCUUCAUGUCAACCAAAAUGAAGUCAACGAUUGCAACAAAACAAUUACAAUGAUGAUGAAGACAUGCUCAAACAAAUUAAAAGCAUCAGAAAUUUCAAGCUUGAAGCAACAGGAAAAAAUUGCUAAGAAUUUUACGGCAAAAAGCGUUCAUAUAAAUGGAAAAUGUUGCUGAACUGUUUCAUCCAUAAUUGAAGCACCAAAAAAGUUAUCA